ACCAAUUCAAAGAACUUGGAAUUAAGUAAAGGGCAUAGCCAAUUCAAUAAAGAUGUUAUAGACUACAAUACAAAUUUUAUUAUUCCAACUGAAAUUAAAAUAUAAACUUCAAAGGCUAAACAACAUGCUGCAGCUUUUUCUCUUAUUCUAAACAGAAAUUUAAAGGGACAAGCCACACACUUUCUUCACAUCAUACACAGAGCUCUUCAACAAAGAAACCUAAACUUCAUUUUCAACACCUGCAUAAUAUAUUCUUAAGGGUGAGCAACGCUCAAUAGGAAGCUAGUCUUUUUUAAACAACAGAUGUCAACCAUAAUAAUGCAUGAAUGCAAUGAUUCCUUCAAUAAUAACCCCCUCACCCAAACCAUGAUUCCUUUUUUGUUAGUCCUCUUAUUUAAUCUCGAUCAUCAAAAUCGUACAACCAUAUUAGCCCAC
rnacentral:lncRNA from 1 species